AACGUAGGAGACAAACGUUAUCCGGAGUUACUGGGCGUAAAGGGCGUGCAGGCGGUUUCUUAAGUUCGUCGUGAAAUCGCCCGGCUUAACCGGGCGGGGUCGAUGGAUACUGGGAGACUUGAGGGCGGUAGAGGCGUGUGGAAUUCCGGGUGUAGUGGUGAAAUGCGUAGAUAUCCGGAGGAACACCAGUGGCGAAGGCGACACGCUGGGCCGUACCUGACGCUAAGACGCGACAGCAUGGGGAGCGAACGGG
rnacentral:rRNA from 1 species